UUGCGCAAAGUCUUCAUCGCUUGAAGUACAAUCAUCCUAGGAAAAAGAAAAUCUUUCGAAUUAAUUAUCAGGGUUCUUUAUUUUCCCAGAAACUUGGCGGUGGUUAAAUUAGUAUUAUUCGGAAGAAUGGCCAAGUCAAUGUGUUGGAUCCCAAAAGAAGAAAUU